GCCGACGUAGCUCAAUCGGCAGAGCAUCGACCUUGUAAGUCGAGGGUUGCCGGUUCAAUUCCGGCCGUCGGCU
rnacentral:tRNA from 1 species